rnacentral:lncRNA from 1 species
ACGCGGGCAAUCCGCGUGCCAGGGUGAUCGAAUGGUCUGUAUUCACUCCUGCACGCACAAACAAACCAGAUCUAUUUCUCGAAUAAGCUCUAAUCAGAUGGCUUCUGUCGUCCCACAUAGACCCGGAUGGACGACCCAGAUUGGUUUCGCAAAUAGGCUCGAUCGAACGACCAUCUGCAUGCCACAUUUCCCAGAAUGGACGAUCGAGAUUAGAAGAAGAAAGGUAUUUAAACCUCUCUUCAAACAAACCCUAACUUUAGCCAACGACAUCAAUCUAGAGAGGAAGAAGAGAAGCGGCCGGAAGGAGACCUAGCCGCCGGAGGAAUAUCGACGCCACCGUGUCGGAAUGCCGAAAAUUCUUUCCGUUCUCUCUGUUUCUCCAUCUUUAACCGUAUAACUUGUUUUUGUUUAGGGCAAAUGAGAACAACUGCGAACUGCGAGGGAGGAACGGUGGAGCUUAGUUGAGCCACCACACUGAAGGACCAAAAUCGUAGAUAAGCUUAUGUUUUUCCCCUCCUUUCCUCGAGAAACACCUACUAACCAUGAUUUAAACAGAUUUUUACCGAGAAUUAACAAAAAACGAGCUGACCAAGAGGAAGAGCCACUAGAGAAAAAGGACUAGACAGUGGAGCAGGGCAGCACCGCUGUGCCGAAACCCCAACCUGAGGCCCCGAUGAGAUGUUUUGUCUUUUUUGUUGUUUUUGGCGUAUUUUCACGCCAUUUUGACGUACGUUUCGAUCUUAGCAAGAAAACUAAGAUAUUCAAGAACCGGGAACCAUAGUGAAAAAGGGCAGU